GGUUUAAAUUGUUAAAUGGAGAA
rnacentral:snRNA from 1 species